rnacentral:lncRNA from 1 species
GAAAGGAAUGCUACCUGGUUGAUCCUGCCAGUAGUCAUAUGCUUGUCUCAAAGAUUAAGCCAUGCAUGUGUAAGUAUGAACUAAUUCAAACUGUGAAACUGCGAAUGGCUCAUUAAAUCAGUUAUAGUUUGUUUGAUGGUAUCUACUACUAGGAUAACUGUAGUAAUUCUAGAGCUAAUACGUGCAACAAACCCCGACUUCUAGAAGGGAUGCAUUUAUUAGAUAAAAGGCUGACGCGGGCUCUGCCCGUUGCUCUGAUGAUUCAUGAUAACUCGACGGAUCGCACAGCCAUCGUGCUGGCGGCGCAUCAUUCAAAUAUCUGCCCUAUCAACUUUCGAUGGUAGGAUAGUGGCCUACCAUGGUGGUGACGGGUGACGGAGAAUUAGAGUUCGAUUCCGGAGAGGGAGCCUGAAGCUCAUCCCACUCAAAUCCUACAGAAGCUGCAAUCGGGCCACCUCCUGGAGGGAUCUAGAUGAUUUGGAAGUGCAAAAGGAUGCUAGGUGUGCAGUAAACAAGAUCAAUAAUAGUGCAGAUGCCUUUUAUCCAUCAUGGGAGCUGAAUUUCUGCAGUUAUGCCGAGUUUGACGUUUGGUGGAAAACUAGAUUUCAAGGUCUGCCUGCCUCCAGCACUGCACUCAAAGUUCUUUUUGAUGGUUGAGAUUCCUGGGUCAUUCAUGCAGGAGAGGAGACUCACAGAUUUAUGGUGCAGACCGUAAAAAACAUUAAUGCUCAAGUCAUAGAAGGUAGAUUCCUGAUUCUGUCGUGUUUUGCUUAUUCUGCCUCUGUGAUGAUCUCUGACAUUUUGUUCUGCCUGCAAUAGAUCCUUCUCUGACAAAGAUCAUAGGUGGGCAAUCUGUCCAGGCUGGAGAAGUGAUUGGUAAGCUUUCCAUGAUUCUGUUCCUCCCAUCAUUCUUCUGCUGGAUUGACUUCUGACUUGUUUGUUUCUUGUGCAGUCACUUCUGUCAUUGCUGCCGGAGACUUGGAGUUUCCCUCUGGGGAUGAAGAGGAUGAGACUCUCUAUUGAGGCGACUCCUUCUGGCAGAAGGAACAAAAGAAAAAAGACUACUCCAGUCCAUGGUGGUGCUGUUUAGCCUGCAACUUCAGGUAAAUUUUGAAAGUUUGAGUCCUCUUGAUUCUGUUAUGUUUUGUCUUGCCUAAUUUCGACCCAUGCUCUAAUCAUUUUUUGUUUAUUUAUUGCAGCUGAAAUUCCUCCUCCUCCUCAUACUGAGUCAAAAAGAUUUCGAAAGAGAACUGUGGUGGAGUACAUGGCCACAGAAGAACUUGCAGCAGGUCCCACAACCACUUCUGGCACAGAUGAAGAUUUAAGGGAGGCCUUCGAAGCUAUAGAGCAGGAGAAGGAGCAAGAAGAAGGGGAUAUCCCUUUAAAAGAGAAGAACAAAGAGUUUGAAGAAGAGGUGAGCCUCUAUUACUGUAUGAACUUUUGGGUAUGUUCUUCUUCUAACUUCUAACUUCUGUCUGUUUGUAGGAUGAGAUUCCUACUGAGGUGAUAGCAGAAAGCAUUGCCUUAGCCAAACAAGAAGAAGAAGCUCAGAGGGCAGAACCCACAAGCUCAAAACUGGCCCUAUUCGAUGAUGUGGAGGCAGAACAUUCUGCUGCAAUUGAAGUGCCUAUGGAGCAGGCAGAGCCAUAUGUUUCAGAAUCUGUGGAACAGGCAGAACUUCCUGUUGCAGCCCCAGAUCCUGGAGCGGAGGUAGUUGCUGUUGCUCCUAAACUUAUGGUAUUUUUUAUUUAUUUUAACUCUGUCUGUCUGUUUCCUGUAGUUCUGUCAUGUCUUUGCGUAUCUAACUAUCAGUCUUUCCAGGUAGAAGUGCCCAGAACUGUUGGGAUAUUGGCAGUGAUGACCAGUCCUUUGAAGCCUCUCAUUGUUGCUGUAAGUGUUACCACGUUUUGCCCCUCUUUCUUUUUUGAUUCUGCCUGGCGCUGAUUUACAAUCUCUUUUUGCAGACGCCUAUCCAUUCUCUUCUAGGUUCAUCUACCACGGCCUCCUUUGCUGAUCCAGAAUUGGCAGAGUUUGAAGCCAUGGACCUAGAUGCCCAGCUUGACAAACUAGAGAAGCUCAGUUCCACUCCUGGCAAGGCCAAGUCCAAGGCGGUGGAUGAGGCAAUGGAGAGGGUGAAGAUUUGGCAAUCCAUUGAGCAGGAACUGGAUGAGAAUAGGGAAGCUGUUAAUCAAUUGAUGAAGGAUUUGGACCUACUGCAUAGACAGAACAUGGCUCCCAAGCCUAUACUUGAGAUGAGCCUAGGUUUGGCCAGAGAUGUGCUCAACCUUCACGACCGUUAUGAGGAUCUCAAGCCCACCUUCAAAACCUCUGAGUUUUACAAGGCUACUUAUGAAGCCAAUUUGGCUGAUUACGCAAACAGAAGGCAGAACUGGACCAGAUGGUUGCAGGAUACAAGGAAGCUAAGGCCACUGCAGAUAAGCUGGAGAAGCAGAUUGAAGAGCUUCAAAAGCAGUUGGCAGAAUGCAGGGAGGUGCAGAACAGGCUUGGGGCUGGACUGAGUUCCAAGACCAAGGCUACCUUCCUUGUCCAGAGUAUGGUUUCAGCUUCCAGGCCAGCAUUAGAGAUUGCAGAGGCUUCAAUCCACCAAGGGGUGCUGCUCCAAAAGGAACUUUCGAUCAAGAAGACCAGUUUGUAGGAAAUUAGGGUUUUAAUUUUAAAUUUUUGAAUGUAAUAAAACUUUAGUCAUGAAAAUGACUAUAUUUAAUAAAAGCUAUUUAUUUUGUGGAACUUUGCUUUUUCAAUCUUUUGCUUAAACAAAACGAAAGAUAAAAGAAGAUAAAAUAUACUUUUAACAUAUUAUAUUUAGAAGCACAACUCUAUAAAAAAAACUUUAAACAACAUUUUUAUCUCUUUCCCUCUCUAUCCUAGGAUCGGUUUGCACAGCCUAUGAAUCCCACAUAGUUGGAUAGAAUUUCUUCAACCAUUUGCCAUUGAUUGGUGCAGCAUGGAUGUGUCCAUCUCGAUCCCGUAAUCUGUAUGCCCCCAAUCCAAGGAUUUGCUUAACUAUGAAAGGCCUUUCCCAUGUAGGUGACCACUUUCCAUAACCAGCUAUGUGUGUUUCAAGGGGCAGAAUUGCUUUCCAGACUAUUUCUCCCUCUUCAAAACUCUUGUUUUUAACUCUUUUGUUGUAAGCCCUUGACAUAGCCUAUUUCCCUGCUAAGAGUUUGUUGAGGGUAUCAAUUCUACUUGCAUCCAAUCCCUCCAAUUCUAGCAGCAUGGCUUGACAGUAGUCUUCUCCAGUCAGAUUGUGUUGGUGAGCAAUUCUGAGAGAUUGGACUGCUAUUUCCAUAGGUAGAAUUGCAUCAUGACCAUAAGUUAGAGCAUAUGGGGUCAUGCCAGUUGCUUCUCUCUUUGAAGUCCUAUAUGCCCACAGAGUUUCUGUUAACUUCUCAUGCCAUUGCUUUGGAUUUUUCUCAAGCAUUUUCCUGAUAAUGUUGAUGAUCACCUUGUUACUUGAUUCUGCCUGUCCAUUAGCUUGAGCAUAAUAAGGAGUGAAUUGAAGUAGCUUAAAUUUGAAUGCUUCUGCCAUAUCUAGCAUAUCUCUAGAUAUGAAAGAAGAUCUCCUAUCAGUUGUGAUUGAUUCUGGAAUGCCAAACCUUUGUAUAAUCUGCUCUUCUAUGAAGGUGAUGAUCUCUUGAGAUGUAGUGGAUUUAACAGGUUUGGCUUCCACCCAUUUGGUGAAAUAGUUUGUAGCUACAAUGAUGAAAUAGUGUUGUUUUCUACUGGCUAGAUAGAUUUUGCCAAUGAGAUCCAUUGCCCAUCCUCUAAAUGGCCAUGGCUUAACCACUAGGUUCAUGGGGACUGAAGGAGCCUACUGGAUUGGACCAUGCCUAUCACAGGCCUCACAUCAAUUGGAAUAGUCAACCCAAUCCUUCAUCAUGGUUGGCCAGAAGUGGCCAUACCUUAUAAUUAACCAGCACAUUUUUCUUCCACCUUGAUGAGUUCCACAGAUUCCUUCAUGGGUUUCUCCUAUGACCUUCAUGUAUUCUUUCUUUCCCGGGCACCUCAAAGGUACCUCAUCUUUACUUUUUCAGACCAAAUCUGACAGGACCCGACCCAAUUUCCACUUUGGAAUUCGAGCCAAGCCCUGUGCGUGUCCGACACCUGGCAAAUGUCGGGCAAAAAUGACCUUUUUACCCUUCUUACUUCAAUUUAUCUUUAAAAUUCCAGACUUCUGCCGAAAAUUCGGCAGUCUCCCCUGUAUUUUGACCAAUCCCAAAAUUUUCACCUGUUAAAUAUUCAACAAAUCCACACCAACAGCCAGAAUAGGAUAAACCAAUAUUUGCCAGUUUCAGUUUUUCCACUAAAGCUCGAUAUCAGAGCAAUUUUCCAAAGUUCACGGGCUUUCAAGGAUUUUUCUACAAACCCUACCUGACUUUGAAGCGCGGAGGCUAAGAGUGGCCCGGUGGUGGAUCCUGUGCACUUCUACGACCUGGGGGCGAAAAACAAGUUUUAAACUGUGAGUGGACAAAAAGUGAAAUUCUUAAAAACAAUCCAGAAUAUAAUACCCCCGUUUUGAAAUAACUAGGGAUAUAUAUUUAUAUAUCGAAAAUUUAACUAUAUCUCAAUAUAAAAGAUUCUAUAAGCAUGAAUCAGUAUGCUGAUGAAUAAACUUACAUAAUCGAUCAAAUAUACAAAGAUAUCACUGCCUGGAGGAAUCAAGAACUGGUAUAACAGAAUAAAGAUAUAGAGAUAUAACUGUGCGAAUACUAAAAAGCCGAUAUAAAAUCGCUGAAAGUCAUCCUUGAAUAAAAGAAAACUCAAAAUCCUUUGAAAAUACCACCUAUUUGUACCCCUGUCAUAUCCGUCAAUUCCCUGGCAGGCCUCGGGCGCCACACAGUCCACCCGAGCCGCAAACUGGCGAAAUCAGGGGACUAUGAUCAGCCUGUCCCGCCGGCAGAUUCCUCGAUGACACCAAGUCAGCUCGAGUCGCUCUGGCAGGAUGCAGGGGACCGUAGUCAGCCUGAUCCGCAAUCCUGGCAGGUCUCGGGGACACAGAGUCAGCCGAGCCGCAAUCCUGGCAGGUCUCGGGACACCAAGUCUGCCGAGCCGCAAAUCCUGGCACUCACGGUCCGAGCGUCCCCGUAACUCGUGAGGCAAAGUCAAGUGCACUGACUGAACUAUAAUCAGACUGGAUGUCCGUAGACAUCGGUCCGACUCUGGGUAAUCACCAUAAAGAAACGGGUACAUGGUGGUCUAAUUAAAAAUCUGGUAACUUUCUGAAAUCUGAUAAAUUGACUGUAGUCUCGAUGCUGUUGCUAUUCUGUUAUAUAAAACUCGAGGUAUGCUACUAAACAUAACUUUCAUCAUAUAUGUAACUCGAAAUAUUUAACAGUAUAAAACAUGCUCAAAGAUUUGCAAAAUACUUAUUCAAGAUCAAAUAAUAAGAUUCGCUUAUAAUAACUUAUUUAUAAAAACUUAUUUAUAUAAAAUCGAGAUAAAAUCCUUGUAUAAAGUCACUUAUAAAAUCUUAUUUAUGGAAACCUCUAUAUAACUCAUUUAUAUAAGAUAAUCCAUGAAAGAAAGUCCACUCACAGAUGGUCCGAGCUAAUUUGGCCCUUUGAAGGUUCCUCCUGCUGAUCGGCUGGACCUCUGAUGCCUGAUUAUCCAUGAACAAUAAAUCAAUAAACCGCUGAAAAAAAGAAUUAAAUUAAACACCCUGCCCCCGGCUCCUAGAAAUACGUGCGUUCAAAUCCAAGUUACUCUUGAGCCCACACUAGCCUUUUCAGACACUUGGACCAGUUUCAAAAGGUCCGACGCUCAGCUAAGCGAUACACUGCCCGAUCGGCCGACCCGGGACCCCGUGGGUCCACGACCUCCGAUGGCCAAUCUGGGCUUCCCUGAAGGUUCCUUACAGAAAGGGAACCAUGUUUUACGAGUUUGGUCCAAAACGGACGGUCGGAUUGGCCAAAAUCGCGUUAUCGCUUAAAAUCCAAACCCUAGCCCCAGGGUUCGCGAUUCCGGAGUAUCCGGGACUCCGAUUCGCAAUCCGUCAAAUCCUACACGAUCCUGACAUCGUGUAGACCGACAUAUCCAAAAUUCAGCGCGAUCCGACGUUUUAACGACACUGCACCCACGGAUCGCGCUAUAUGGAAAAUCCGUUCGGGGCUCAAACGGACUCCGAAUCGAGAUCCGCGAAAACCCACACGCUCGUGACGACACGAGGGUCACAAAACUUUACAGAAUUACAUCACUACCCUCGCCCACGCGCUCCAGCACGCGCGGGCAGCUUUGGGUGUCCAAAGCGAUUUUGGGUGGCCGAAAAAUCUCGGAACCAAGACUCCAAACUCCUACCCUAGGUAAAACACCACAUUUGGAGUCACUUUUGUUCUUGGACAACCCCCAAAAAGUGACCAGAAAUAGUAGUUUCGAACGGCCGAAGUUUCGGCCAAACUUCAAGUCGAAAAUCGAACCCCUUAGAGCUAAAAUCGAUCGAAGCCCAUAUACCCAUCAGCUAGAACACGAAAAAUAGCUGAGAAACCAUACCUUACUCGAUCGAUUUGGUGGAGAAACGAAGGAGAAUUUCGAGCUGGAAGUUCGGGUAGCUUCGAACGAACCUCCGUCGGAAAACACGAUUUUCCGGCCAGCUCAGGGCGGCCCCGGGGUGGAGAUUGGUCAGGUUGUGACGGCGACACGGAGGCGGACCCGUAGGUACCCACGGCGGAGAUCGGCUCGGCCUGUGGUGGCCGGGCCGCCGCCUGGAAGUCGAACGGGCGCACUGCCCAGUUCGCGCGGAAGGAGAGAGAGGAAGAGAGAGAAAGUGACGGGGGAGAGAGAGAGAGGGGUAUAAAAAUCUGACUUUUUGACCAAAUUACCAUUUUGCCCUUCGCGAGACCAUAACUUCUUCGUUACGGCUCCGAUUCGGGUCUACUCCGUGUCUACGAACUCAUUUCGCCGCGCUCUACGCAAUGGCGUAAGCAGAAUUCCCAAAUUCUUUCUCGAUUAAAAAGCCAAAUUUUCCCCCAUUAAAAUAUGCGAGGGCAAUUUGGUCAUUUUUGCUAAAAGAUAUUUUCCUUACUUUUUAGAUAUUUUCUUUCUUUUUAGAUAUUUUUGUUUUGGGUUCUUACAAAAUCUCCAUUCCACAUAAGGUAGUUCAAAGCCAUGAUUCUGACUCUUUUCUCAGAAGGCAGGGUUGGAUACUGCAAGUAAUUUAUGAUAGGGGUUCUCCAGUCAUCUUCAGUGAUUAUGGCAGAAAUGACACCUAUCUCCAUUCCUUUGGUCAGAACGGAUGGUAGACUUUUCUUUCCUGCCUUGAUGAUCCUUUGCACACAAUCUUCAGGCAUUUGUACCCCAGUUGCUAUUUGACCCAUUUCAUUGGCUGCAAAGUUUUCCUCUCUUGGGAUAUGUUCCCAAAUAGCUUCCCUAAAUUCUGUCAAAAGAUUUCUGGCUGCCGCUAGAUAAACAACUAGAGAAGAGUUUAGACACUUGUAUUCUCCAGCAAUCUGCUUUAGCACAAGCAUAGAAUCUCCCAAGAUUUCUACAGACUGGAUUCCUAAUUCUACCAGCAUUUCGAGGCCAAUGAUUAGAGCUUCAUAUUCAGCCCUGUUGUUGGUGCAUUGGAAAUCUAACUGGAAAGAAUAAUAGUGUCUGAUUCCCAGUGGCUCCUUCAAAACAGUCCCUGCCCCAGAGGCUACAUUAGUCUUUGAUCCAUCAAAGUACAGUUUCCAAGGUGUAAGGUGAACUGAAUAGAUGGGAUUGUUAAGACAAGUAUGAGCUCUAGUAAACAGAUCCGCGUUUGCUACAUCCAAGGAACCCAUGUUCUCAAUCUCUUCCCUUGGAUGAUCUACUAGGAAAUCUGCUACAACUUGUCAUUUGACAGCUUUCUGAGGAACCUAUCUGAAAGCAAAUUAUGUCAAAGCCAAAGUCCAUUUGCCAAUUCUACCUCUCAACAUUGGCCUUGUUAACAUGUAUUUGAUUAGGUCUGUCUUGGCAAUGAUGUAGAUGGUGAAUGGCAGCAUGUAGUGUCUGAGUUUCACAGCAGUGAAAUAUAAGGCUAGACAAAGUCUUUCAAUUGCAGAAUAUUUCCUUUCUACUUCUGUCAAAGUUCCGCUCAGAUAGUAGACUGCCUGUUCUUUCCUUCCUUAUUAUCUUGAACUAGCAGACUCCCAAUGGAUACUUCUGAUGCAGAAACAUAGAGUUUGAGCGUUUGCUUCUCUUUGGUGGGGACAUAACUGGCAGAUUUGAGAGGUAGUGCUUGAUUUCCUCAAAAGCCUGCUGGUGCUGUUAUUCCCACUUGAACGUCUGUUCCUACUUUAACCUUAGCAAGGAGGAGAAAGGCUGGAUUUUUCCUGCAGAAUUGGAAAUGAAUCUCCUUAGAAAGUUAAUUUUUCCUAGGAGACUCUGCAGUUCUUUCUUGUUCCGGGGUGGUAAAGCUUCUAUGAUGGAUUUUGCUUUAUUUUUAUCGAUCUCUAUGCCUCUUUGAUGGACCAAGAAACCUAAGAAAUUUCCUGCCUGAACUCCAAAAACACAUUUCUUGGGAUUCAUUUUCAAUUUAUGUUGUCUCAUUCUUAGGAAUGCCCUUUUCAGAUUUGAUACAUGAUCUCCCUCUUUUGGGGAUUUAAUCACCACAUCAUCUAUAUACACCUCUAGAGAAUGCCCUAUCAUAUCAUGGAAGACAGAAUUCAUCCCUCUUUGAUAAGUGGCUCUUGCAUUUCUUAAGCCAAAAGGCAUUACAGUGUAUUCAAAAGCACCUAUAUGUCCUGGACACAUAAAGGCUGUCUUAUGGAUGUCUUCUUCUACCACCAUAAUAUGAUUAUAUCCUACAUUGCCAUCCAUAAAAGAUAGCAUUUGGUUAUGAACAGCUCCAUCUACUAGCAUAUCUGCCAUUGGCAUAAGAUAUUCAUCAUUGGGAGAUGCUUCAUGCAGAUUUCUGCAAUCCACACAGAUCCUAACUGCCCCUGUUUUUCUUUUCAGAACUGGCACAAUAUUGGCUAACCAAUCAACAUAAAUGGUUGGUCUGAUGAAUCCAGCCUUGACCAGUCUUUCUAUUUCUUCCUUGACCUUCAGUUCUGUUUCCAUGGACAUCCUUCUUCUAGCCUGUUUGACUUGAAGGUAGCCUUCUUUGAUUGGCAACUUGUGCUUUACCAAUUUUUUGUCCGAUCCAGGCAUCUCAUGGUAAUGCCAAGCAAAAUAGUCUCUAAAAUCAUGCAAAAGUGCAAUGAUUUCACUCUUGACUGGUUCUUUCAACAGCCCACUAAUGAAACUGGGUCUUGGAUCCUCUUCUGUCCCUAAGUUUAUCUCCUGCAAUGGAUCUUCCACUUCUGGUAAAGAGUCGUCUAGUGCUGCUGGUGCAAAAUCUAGUACUUCCUCCUGUAAACUCUCUUCUUGUUCUUCAGUGCUUUCAUGGGUGAAUUCUGCCCUAUUGAUGGCUGGAUUCUGCCUAAAGAGCUUCAUUUCUUCCCAAUAUGUCAACAAUCUUUUUGUAAUGGAUCGGAUUGUUGUAGCUCGAUCAUUUUCUUGUUGAUUGAGAUUAAACAUCAGAGUUCUGGAGGUUUAGAACAAAAGGUCUAUUCCAGUCCUCUAGAGAAUUGGCUAGACUAUCUUCAAUGAGUCUAUGGGUCGUGACACCAUGGGGGCGGCCGUUCUGGUUGACUCCAAGGAAUGUGAAAGGACCAAGGUCAUCAUGAUAAUAUCUUGCCUCAAAACACAUGGCAGAGGGCAGAAAUGGCAGUGGAUUGGUCUCUACUAUCUCCAUGAAACCUUCUUCAUUCCAAAGGGCUAAUUGCUGAUGCAGAGUGGAAGGAACACAUAAGCUUUGGUGGAUCCAGUCCCUGCCAAGCAAUGCAUUGUAAGUGGUAGAAGUGGUGUCUACCACAAAAAAUGCAAUCUUCAACUCCUUGGUCCCAACUAUGACGUCCACAUCUAGGAUUCCAUGAGUCUUAGUGAUGCCCCCAGCAAAGUUGGUGACAAUCAAACGCAUUGGAAUUGGAUCCUUCUCUGUUUUGCCCAUCUUGCUUAGCAAUCUGUGAGGCAGAAGAUUAAUGGCUGCACCUCCGUCUACCAUUACUUUGGGAAUAGGAAUACCCCCAAAGUUUGCUGUUAUGAACAAAGGUCUGAGGUGAUUGGCCAUCUCUUUGGUUGGUUUGGAAAAACAAAGCUGCUCUGUAUCCAGUUUCAUGGCAGUUUCGCCUGUUUUGGCAGUAGGUGUUUGCUGUUCUGGCGCCUCCUCUACCUCUGCCAAUCUGCAUUCAAAACUUUCCUGGGAGAACAUGUCUCCCUCCAUUGUGUUCUCUUGCCCUUCUGCUGCCCUGAAUUUUUUUGGCAAGAUGAACACCAUAUUAAUGCCUAGAUUACCAUGCAACAGGCUCUCCACAUCUGCACCGAAAGCCUCAGUUUCUUCAUCCAGUUCUCCAUCAUAUUCCAUAUGUUCUUCUCCAUAUUCUUCUGUCCAGUCCUCUUGUUCUCCUGUUUUGAGGAGCCCAGUCUGGUCGUCUGUAGAUGGUUCAUAGUCCAACUACUCCUCUUCAUAUUCUUCAGUCCAGUCUUCUUGUCCUUCUACUGGAAUAGGUUUGGAUUCACCUUGUACUUGUGAAGGUUCAAGCUGAUUGAUUGAGGAUGAGGAAGGAUGGAUAGAAGGUCUGCCUGGAGAUUUUGUAUUUGUCAGCUCUUGUGGCUGUCUUGUUGUUUGUUCUGCCUGAGGAGCUACUUCUGGACUUUUCCCUCUUUUGGCAGAAUUGGUCUCUGGAAGUACCUGUGUGUCAUCCCUAUUCUUGAGGAAGGUGUAGUAUUGCCUUUGAACUCUCCUCUUCUGAGUUCUAGUUAACUCCAGAGUUGGUCUACCGCUUUUUCCAACAAAAUACCAUCUGCCUUCUAUGAUAGUUGCCAAGGGCCUGUCAUUUCCGGGCAUCUUAAUUGGUAUUUCCUUCUUUGGCUGCUCUGUCAUUCUUCUGGUGCGUUGGGCAGGCUUUAGAUAGUCUUUCUGUCUGGCUCUAUCUCCAGGUGGAGCCGAAACUGGGCGUUGUUGGUAUGAUGUUCCAAUCCUAUCAAAAACGCUAGGUGUAGGCUGAUUUUGCCUAUCCAGAGUUACCUCCAACUCACUUUCACACUUGCACUUGCUGCACAGAACUACCAUAGCCGAGAUGGUUGCCUUUGGCUUUUGAUUAGUCUCCCUUGUGACUAUUCUGCUUCUGCUGGAGCUAGCUUCUGUUGCUGGUUUGCCUCUCUUCUGUUCUGGCCAAUUUAAGUUGACCAUGUUGACCUGAGGUUGGGGAAAGGGAUCUGUUGUAAUUGAGGGAGGUUUCUCUACCAGUUUUAACCUUCCUGCUGUUGGUGGAGUGGUUCCAAGAGUUGUGCCAUCUGUAAUACUGUCUGCCCUUGAGUUCUUCUGGCUUGGGCAACCUGUGGGGUGUCUCUAUUACCUUCUGUAGUAGCAUCUCAUCAAACAAAGCAUCAACCUUGGUUAGAUCGAAGGAAUAGACCUUGUUCUGUGUUGGUUUGUUUAGAACAAACCCUCCUAUGAAUAGGGGUGGCUUCUGGUCCUUUAGUGGCAUUGUAAGAGCUUUGCAACUGAUGGGAUGCUUCAAUUUUGCCAUUUCUGCCACUGCAAUUUCUCUUUCCUCUGAGCCAUCUGUGUCUUCUUCUGAUUCUACCUCAACCAAAUGUACUGAAGAAGAAGGGGUUUUGUAGUAUGUGCCUUUGGAAGAGUUCCUCUUAUGCUGUUCUUCCCUGAGUAGCUCCUCGUAUUUGGAUGCUUUGUCUGCCAGUUUUGCCAGAUCUCCAAACAGUAUCCCAUCAAAUCUCUUUCUCGGAGAGAUUUUAAGGGCGGUUUGAGCCAUCUGAAUGAAGUGCCUUUCUUCCAAACGGAUUCGGCAUUUCAAUUUGAGCUUUCUGAACCUGGUUAUGAAGUCUUAGGCUGGCUCAUCUUCACUCUGUUUGAGGGUAGCAAGAUCACUGAUGGUGACUUCUAGCUGGAUCCUGAAAUAGUAGUCAUGGAAAACAUUUUCCAUCUGCUCCUAGGUUUGAACAGAAUUGGCUGGUAGGCUAGUAUACCAAGUGAAGGCUUGUCCAGAGAGAGAAUUUCCAAAAUGCCUUAGUUUUAACAGAGGGUUAUUUUCUAUGGCUAUGCACUGGACAAAGAAUCUGCCUAUAUGCUCAACUGAUGAAGCAUGGGGGCCUUCUCCGUUGAACGAGGUGAAGUUUGGUACUUUAAAACCCGGGAAUAAAGGUAGAUCAAUGUAAGCCGGUUAUGGCUUUCUGUAGGUGGGCCUUUCUUCUCUUCUGGCUUCAGGCUCCAUCAUCUCCCUGAUUAUUCUCUGAAGUGCCCUCAUGUCUUUCAAAGCAUUGACAGGAUGGGGAUUUCACCCCAGUUCUUGCUGGUUGUUCUCAAUCCUGUGCUCCAUUCUGAAUGGCCUGGGCAAAACUUCCUCCCUGUGUUCUUCCUCUUCUUCGAAGUCAGGGAUGGUUCCUCCAGUUUGCCCCCGGUCUGUUCCUAUCGUUGUUGGCAAAAAGGUUAAUUCCCCAUCUGCCUCUUCUGCCUCUUGCUAGUGGAGGGAAUGGAUUGGGGUCCAUCCUUCUGGGUCUAUAGGGCAACACAGCUGAUUGCUCAGGCAGAACUGCCAAUGGCUGAUCACGUGAGGCCACAGGUUCUGGAAUAGGUGGAGGUUCUGGUUGAUUCUGGGGGGCUGAGCUGGUGCAGGGCCUUCUGGACGAACUGGAGCCUUAUGUUCUUAGAUGGAAGGACUCCUCAUCUCUGUCUAGCUUGGAUUUCUCUAUGUCUUGGAAUGGCCAUGCUAGUCCUGGUGGAGGUACAUAAACGAGGUCUAGCUGCUAGACCACAAUAUCUGGGUUAGGAAUUCUGGCAAUAGUAGCCUUUCGGUCCUUCUUGAACUACCUGUUGACUUGCCAUUGCAUCAUGGUUGUCAUGUUGUUUAGAGUAUCCUGGCUCCUUUGUGCUGUGGCCUCCUGUCGGAACACAGCUUCCUGUAUCUGGUUCAACCUCCUGGAGCCAGACCUGGAACGUCUACUCCUGGUACUGCCAUGGGCUGAUUUCCUAGCAUCACUUUCUUCUGACUCCACCCCUUCUUGGAGAGCUGCUUGAUCUCUUUCUACGGCGCAGUGUGGGUUCUGGCUAGAACUUCCAAUAUUCAUAUACUUAGGAGAUUUUCCUAGGAAUAUGUAUACUGAGAAGUCCCACUGGGCAUGCCAAAUUGUUCACCCGUUUUAUGUUUGUUCCUGUGAUGGUAGGGUAAAGUUCCUCAUUGCCUUGAGAACCAUUGACUGGUCAACAAGUCAACUUUCUUUAGUGUACGAGCAUGCCACUGCUAGCAAUGAAAAUCCUAGCAGACUUCUUAAAAAUAGAUAACUUGCGCCCCAAGUUACUGACUUCUAAACAAGCGAUUGUGAAUUUGGGUGAGGAACAUCUCCCAAGUAAGUUCUUUUCUUGCCUCAGACUGGUGAGGACUUUAUAAUUUUUCACAGUAUAAACUGGUAGUUCUAACCAGAAUAAAUGAUAAGAAAACGAACUGUUUUUAGGCAGAACUGCCUUUUACAAAACUCAAAAGGGAAAACCCAACUUUAGAAAGACAAAAAGAAGGCUGGACUUCCAUUUCUGCCUGGAUAUAUGCUUCUAAUCCGGGCUGGACUGGGUAUGCCUAUGCUGGACUGGACUAUCAACAACUUCAACUGCUAAGCUUUAGCUGUAAAUCGAUAUCAACGUUUGAGUUUGGCAGAGCUUUAAUCUAUUUCAAGCCUUGGAAGGCUUUUGGAACGGGUAGAAUUGUGGUCUCUUUAGUCUGAAAGGGACAGAAGUGGCUGGACUUGAGGAUUACUGAGCUGGAACUGCACUGUGGUACCUGUUCUGCUUGAUCAGGGCUCUCCAUAAAUUUGUUGAGGUUUUCAUAUUUGUAAAAUCCGGAACUCUGUUUGAUUUGGCUUUUGCUGAACCAAAUUUGCAACCAAAGAAAUCUCGUUUUGAAUGACUUAUUUCUCUAAGUCUGAAAUGAAACUGGAGGUUUUGAUUCGUAGCUGGCUUCUUUCUUGUGGCUCAAUGAGCUUUUGGUUGCUUCAGUUUGUUUGAAGGCUUUUUGAGAUCAAGUGAUUAUUAUGAGUUUUGUUUUUGAUUGAUUUUUGGCUGUCCUUUAAUCUGUUAAUCUCCUCUCAUAUUUACAGAAAAUGCUGGAGUGGGAUAUUUUUAAUUUUUUAAAUGGGGGGCAUAUUUUCUAGAAAAACAAGAUCUUUUAUUUUCAAAUGUCAAAGAAAAGCGAAGUUAUCUAUUCUGGCUAGUAGACCAUCACUAGUCAGUUUCCAUGGAGGUCGUUUCUUUGCUUUUCUGAAAGAAGAACCAACUCUUCUUUGUUCUCUGUUUGUUCUUGGUAAAGAGAAAGAGCACAAUCUGACACAAUGGUCAGUUUGCUUUUCUUGUUUGAACAACUCUCCUGCUUCCCACUUAUCUUUUGAGAUUGUAGCUUGCUUAUCUUUUGGGAAGAUCACCUGUUUUGGUGCAGAGCUUCUCUCUCUCUCUCUCUCUCUCUCUCUCUCUCUCUCUCUCUCUCUCUCUCUCUCUCUCUCUCUCUCUAUAUACAUAUAUAUAUAUAUAUAUAUUUUCUGAACUUUUCUUCUUUUGGCUGAGUGAAAAUAGAGAAGUCUUUCUGUAAAAACCUGCCUUCAUUAAUUUCCUAUCAACCCCUCUGUAAUAGUUGAAAAUUUUGACUUUUUCAACGCCAUUUAGUCACCUGGGUUUGUUUCUAGGAAAAGAUUUUCUGAUUUUAAUCAUCCCAAGCCUAGUUUUGAUUUUUGGGAUUGUGGGCUGAUCAAUUUGCAUGUGCUGGGCUUCCUUCCAAUUUUUGGGUCUAGGUAAAAUAUCUGACUUGGGCCUGGGCUUUUUGACUUUUGGGCCUUCGAUUCCAAUUCUAAUCCAUACUGCCUGGGUCUGAUUUAUGUCUCGUUCUUCUGGGCCUCCAGUGUUGGGCUGGUGGUUGUUCAAAAUUGAUAUGGGUUUUUGAUCUUUCGGAUUGGGCAUGCCAAACUAGCACCAAACACUUA